rnacentral:rRNA from 1 species
ACGGAAGGCAGCAGUGAGGAAUAUUGGUCAAUGGACGGAAGUCUGAACCAGCCAUGCCGCGUGCAGGAAGACGGCCCUAUGGGUUGUAAACUGCUUUUGUGGUGGAGCAAUAAGGCGUACGUGUACGCCGAUGAGAGUACAUCACGAAUAAGCAUCGGCUAACUCCGUGCCAGCAGCCGCGGUAAUACGGAGGAUGCAAGCGUUAUCCGGAUUUAUUGGGUUUAAAGGGAGCGUAGGCCGUGCUUUAAGCGUGUUGUGAAAUGUAGGCGCCCAACGUCUGCACUGCAGCGCGAACUGGAGCACUUGAGUACGCAGGAAGUAGGCGGAAUUCGUCGUGUAGCGGUGAAAUGCUUAGAUAUGACGAAGAACUCCGAUUGGGAAGCCAGCUUACUGUAGCGCCACUGACGCUGAUGCUCGAAAGCGUGGGUAUCGAACAGGAUUAGAUACCCUGGUA